rnacentral:misc_RNA from 1 species
UACGUAGGGAGCGAGCGUUACCCGGAAUUAUUGGGCGUAAGGCGCGCGCAGGCGGUCUUUUAAGUCUGAUGUGAAAGCCCACGGCUCAACCGUGGAGGGUCAUUGGAAACUGGGGAACUUGAGUGCAGAAGAGGAGAGUGGAAUUCCACGUGUAGCGGUGAAAUGCGUAGAGAUGUGGAGGAACACCAGUGGCGAAGGCGACUCUCUGGUCUGUAACUGACGCUGAGGAGCGAAAGCGUGGGGAGCGAACAGG